AUUGAACGCUGGCGGCAUGCUUUACACAUGCAAGUCGAACGGUAACGCGGGGGCAACCCUGGCGACGAGUGGCGAACGGGUGAGUAAUACAUCGGAACAUAUCCAGUAGCGGGGGAUAACCUAUCGAAAGAUGGACUAAUACCGCAUACGAUCUACGGAUGAAAGCAGGGGACCGCAAGGCCUUGCACUAUUGGAGUGGCCGAUGUCGGAUUAGCUAGUUGGUGGGGUAAAGGCUUACCAAGGCGACGAUCCGUAGCUGGUCUGAGAGGACGAUCAGCCACACUGGAACUGAGACACGGUCCAGACUCCUACGGGAGGCAGCAGUGGGGAAUUUUGGACAAUGGGCGCAAGCCUGAUCCAGCCAUGCCGCGUGAGUGAAGAAGGCCUUCGGGUUGUAAAGCUCUUUCGGUGAAGACGAAACGGUUAGCGCUAAUAACGCUGACUAAUGACGGUACUCACAGAAGAAGCACCGGCUAACUACGUGCCAGCAGCCGCGGUAAUACGUAGGGUGCAGGCGUUAAUCGGAAUUACUGGGCGUAAAGCGUGCGCAGGCGGUUUGCUAAGACAGGUGUGAAAUCCCCGGGCUUAACCUGGGAAUUGCGCUUGUAACUGGCAAGCUANAGUGUGGCANANGGGGGGUGGAAUUNCACGUGUUAGCAGUGAAAUGCGUANAUAUGNGGAGGAACACCGAUNGGCGAANGCAGCCCCCUGGGUUAACACUGACGCUNAUGCNCGAAAGCGUGGGGAGCAAACAGGAUUANAUACCCCUGGUANUCCACNCCCUUAACUAUUUUUGNGUAAAAUAUUGGGAGGAACCCCCNAUGGGGGAAGNCAGCCCCCUGGGUUAAACANUGACGGUUCAUGCACGAAAGGGGUGGGNAGCAAACCAGGAUUAGAUCCCUUGGUAGUCCCCGCCCUUAAAUUAUGUCAANUAGUUGUCGGGGAAAGAAAUNCCUUGGUAACGAAGCUAACGCGUAAAGUUGACCGCCUGGGNAGUACGGCCCGCAAGGUUAAAACUCAAAGGAAUUGACGGGGACCCGCACAAGCGGUGGAUUAUGUGGAUUAAUUCGAUGCAACGCGAAAAACCUUACCUACCCUUGACAUGCCAGGAAGCCCGCAGAGAUGUGGGCGUGCCCGAAAGGGAACCUGGACACAGGUGCUGCAUGGCUGUCGUCAGCUCGUGUCGUGAGAUGUUGGGUUAAGUCCCGCAACGAGCGCAACCCUUGCCAUUAGUUGCUACAUUCAGUUGGGCACUCUAAUGGGACCGCCGGUGACAAACCGGAGGAAGGUGGGGAUGACGUCAAGUCCUCAUGGCCCUUAUGGGUAGGGCUUCACACGUAAUACAAUGGUCGGUACAGAGGGCUGCCAACCCGCAAGGGGGAGCUAAUCCCAGAAAGCCGAUCGUAGUCCGGAUUGUAGUCUGCAACUCGACUGCAUGAAGCCGGAAUCGCUAGUAAUCGCGGAUCAGCAUGUCGCGGUGAAUACGUUCCCGGGUCUUGUACACACCGCCCGUCACACCACGGGAGUGGGUUCCACCAGAAGUAGUUAGCCUAACCGCAAGGAGGGCGAUUACCACGGUGAGAUUCAUGACCGGGGUGAAGUCGUAACAAGGUAACC
rnacentral:rRNA from 1 species